CGAAAGUGAAUGUGUUUGGCGGUGGGGUUAAGCAAGCAGCCUUCUGCUUUGUUGACAGCCUCAAGCCUCGUCCCUCGCACACUAUUUUAUGAGAAGGGCAGAGAGUUCCACUUAGCAUUUGGUGUGUUUAUCAUCAUGAGUAAGAGAAAAAAUCCCGCAACUUCUGGAAAUUUGAAUCAUGAUAUUUGUGACUUUCUAAGUGAACUAGCAAAUUAUGAAAAGAAUGUGAAUCGAAAUAUUCACAAGUACAAUGCAUACCGAAAGGCAGCAAGUGCGAUAGCUUCACACUCCACACGCUUGACAUCUGGUGAAGAAGCUCGUAAACUGGAUGGUGUUGGUCAGAAAAUAUCGGAUAAAAUAAAUGAGUUCUUAUCAACAGGAAAAUUGCAAAAGCUAGAAAAGAUUCAUUCGGAUGAUACAAGUACAGCUGUUACACUCUUAACCAGAGUGUCAGGUAUAGGACCAGCUAAAGCAAAAGAGCUUGUCAAUGAUGGCAUAAGGUCUAUUGAAGAUCUUGAGAGUCAUAAAGAAAAAUUAAACCAUCAUCAACUUAUUGGUUUGAAAUAUUUCAAUGAUUUUGAAGUAAAAAUCCCUCGCAGUGAAAUAGAAGAGAUAGAAGCAGUUCUGGUCAAGAAGAUAUCUGACCUUGACUCGGACUAUAUUGUCACCAUUUGUGGAAGUUAUCGGAGAGGGAAAUCAGAGAGUGGUGACAUUGAUGCUUUGAUCACUCAUCCCAGUUUCACAUCAGAUGUGAAAGCCAAGACUAAAUCUCACCUCUUGAAGGAUGUCACAAAAUGUCUUGAAGAAUGUGGACUCAUAUGUGAUACUUUAAGCCACGGUGAUGUCAAAUUCAUGGGGGCAUGCCGUCUUAGUGAAAAACAUCCGGUGCGAAGAUUAGACAUCCGCUUGACACCUCAAGACCAGUACUGGUGCAGUAUUCUUUAUUUCACGGGCAGUGACAUGUUCAAUAAGGAAAUGCGCACUCAUGCACUCCAAAAAGGAUACACUCUGAAUGAAUACAGUCUUCGACCCCUUGGCUCAACAGGUGUCCCUGGAGAACCUGUAUUCCUGGCUAGUGAGAAGGACAUUUUUGAAUACAUAGAUUAUCCAUACAAAGGACCAGACGAGCGCAGUGUGUAGUAUCUUGUUCAUUUUACAUUUAUUUCUCCAAAGGAGGAAAUUAAGCUUGCAAACUGUGCUUAUAGCACCACCGUGUUAAGGACUAAUCCAGAUGGUGCUAGCCACACAAGCAUCACUGGGUUUAAUUUAUACCAAAACUUAUACAUGUGCGAGCAACCGAGUCAGGGGACCGAAGGACAAUUUCUAGUGGCUAGGACUGGCGGGACGCUAGUGAGACAGAGGCAGAAAGGCAGAGAGGUAGGCUCAGGGUCACCUGCACUGCAAGCGCCUGCAA